CGUGUAGGCGGUUUGGUAAGUCUGAUGUGAAAGCCCUGGGCUCAACCCGGGAAGUGCAUUGGAAACUGUCAGACUUGAAUACGGGAGAGGGUAGUGGAAUUCCUGGUGUAGGAGUGAAAUCCGUAGAUAUCAGGAGGAACACCGGUGGCGAAGGCGGCUGCCUGGACCGAUAUUGACGCUGAGACGCGAAAGCGUGGGUAGCAAACAGGAUUAGAUACCCUGGUAGUCCACGCCGUAAACGAUGAGUACUAGGUGUUGCGGGUAUUGACCCCUGCAGUGCCGCAGCUAACGCAUUAAGUACUCCGCCUGGGAAGUACGGUCGCAAGACUAAA
rnacentral:rRNA from 1 species